rnacentral:tmRNA from 1 species
GGGGGCGUAAAGGUUUCGACGGGGAUUGUAAGCCCUGGUAAGCGAGUAGCGGUGCAGAACCGCUAUAAAAUCUGCAAUUUUUAAAAAUAAACGACAACUCUACAGUUGCUCUCGCGGCUUAAUUAAGCCGCCGUUCCUACCCGAAGUACCGCGGUCGGGAUAGGAGCGUCAUGCAGCGGUGAACGUGAACGGAUGGCUGUCGCUUCAUCCGUCAUGAAUCGGCGACUACCGUAACUCAUAGCCUGUCUGUCGGCGAUGAGCGAGGGGAAUCUUAAAAGACUGACUGCACUCGGAGAAAACCUUGGUGAAUGAUUUUCGGACAGGAGU